UACAUGUGGGGCAAGCGUUGUUCGGAAUUACUGGGCGUAAAGCGCACGUAGGCGGAUUUGUUAGUCAGGGGUGAAAUCCCACGGCUCAACCGUGGAAGUGCCUUUGAUACUGCGGGUCUCGAGGGAGGUAGGGGCGUGCGGAACUUCCGGUGGAGCGGUGAAAUGCGUAGAUAUCGGAAGGAACACCGGUGGCGAAGGCGGCUUCCUGGACCGACACUGACGCUGAGGCGCGAAAGCUAGGGGAGCAAACGGG
rnacentral:rRNA from 1 species